UAGUGAGUUUGUAUCCUGGCUCAGAACGAACGCUGGCGGCAUGCCUAACACAUGCAAGUCGAACGAAGCCUUCGGGCUUAGUGGCGCACGGGUGCGUAACGCGUGGGAAUCUGCCCUUGGGUUCGGAAUAACAGUUAGAAAUGACUGCUAAUACCGAAUGAUGUCUUCGGACCAAAGAUUUAUCGCCCAAAGAUGAGCCCGCGUAGGAUUAGCUAGUUGGUAGGGUAAAGGCCUACCAAGGCGACGAUCCUUAGCUGGUCUGAGAGGAUGAUCAGCCACACUGGGACUGAGACACGGCCCAGA
rnacentral:rRNA from 1 species